CUGUGAUGUGCGGACCGCUGCAGCCCUACGACUCCACAACACUAUUAUUGUUCAUAUGAUUUAUUUCACCUUACUCAAGUUUUCCUGCCAUGACGCUCUGGAUUCCCACUAAAAGAGAGAAAUAUGGAGUGGCUAUCUAUAACUAUGAUGCCAGAGGAGAGCCAGAGCUGAGUCUUCAGGUGGGGGACACGGUACACAUACUUGAGACGUUUGAAGGGUGGUACCGAGGAUACACACUACGACAGAAAUCACAAAAGGGCAUUUUCCCUGCCAAC